AAUUUUAUAGUUAAUUAUAUAACAUUAGAUUGCAAAUCUAAAAUUAUAAAUUUUUAAGUUUAUUGAAGUUU
rnacentral:tRNA from 1 species